rnacentral:rRNA from 1 species
ACAGAAGAAGCACCGGCUAACUCCGUGCCAGCAGCCGCGGUAAUACGGAGGGUGCGAGCGUUAAUCGGAAUUACUGGGCGUAAAGCGCACGCAGGCGGUUUGUUAAGCUAGAUGUGAAAGCCCCGGGCUUAACCUGGGAUGGUCAUUUAGAACUGGCAGACUAGAGUCUUGGAGAGGGGAGUGGAAUUUCUGGUGUAGCGGUGAAAUGCGUAGAGAUCAGAAGGAACAUCAGUGGCGAAGGCAGCUCCCUGGCCAAAGACUGACGCUCAUGUGCGAAAGUGUGGGUAGCGAACAGGAUUAGAUACCCUGGUAGUCCACACCGUAAACGCUGUCUACUAGCUGUAUGUGUAUUUAAUACGUGCGUAGCGAAGCUAACGCGCUAAGUAGACCGCCUGGGGAGUACGGUCGCCAGAUUAAAACUCAAUGGAAUUGACGGG